rnacentral:rRNA from 1 species
GAUGAACGCUGGCGGCGUGCCUAAUACAUGCAAGUCGAGCGAACAGACGAGGAGCUUGCUCCUCUGACGUUAGCGGCGGACGGGUGAGUAACACGUGGAUAACCUACCUAUAAGACUGGGAUAACUUCGGGAAACCGGAGCUAAUACCGGAUAAUAUAUUGAACCGCAUGGUUCAAUAGUGAAAGACGGUUUUGCUGUCACUUAUAGAUGGAUCCGCGCCGCAUUAGCUAGUUGGUAAGGUAACGGCUUACCAAGGCAACGAUGCGUAGCCGACCUGAGAGGGUGAUCGGCCACACUGGAACUGAGACACGGUCCAGACUCCUACGGGAGGCAGCAGUAGGGAAUCUUCGGCAAUGGGCGAAAGCCUGACGGAGCAACGCAGCGUGAGUGAUGAAGGUCUUCGGAUCGUAAAACUCUGUUAUUAGGGAAGAACAAAUGUGUAAGUAACUAUGCACGUCUUGACGGUACCUAAUCAGAAAGCCACGGCUAACUACGUG